GGGAUAGAAUUCCAGGAGUAGCGGUGAAAUGCGUAGAUAUCUGGAGGAAUACCAAAGGCGAAGGCAGUCCCCUGGUCCGAUACUGACACUGAGGUACGAAAGCGUGGGGAGCAAACAGGAUUAGAUACCCUGGUAGUCCACGCCCUAAACGAUGUCGAUUAGCCAUUGGAAGGACCCCUUUUCCUUUCAGUGACGUAGCUAACGCGUUAAAUCGACCGCCUGGGAAGUACGACCGCAAGGUUAAAACUCAAAGGAAUUGACGGGGACCUGAACAAGCGGUGAAUGAUGUGGAUUAAUUCGAUGCUACGCGAAGAACCUUACCUACCUUUGACAUGGCCAAAGUUCUACCGAGAGGCGGAAGUACUCGUAAGAGGAUUGGCGCACAGGUGCUGCAUGGUUGUCGUCAGUUCGUGUCGUGAGAUGUUGGGUUCAGUCCCGCAACGAACGCAACCCUUAUCUUUAAUUGCUCCUAUUUUAACAGGCACUUUAAAGAAACUGCCAAUGAUAAGUUGGAGGAAGGUGGGGAUCACGUCAAGUCCGCAUGGCCUUUAUAGGUAGGGCUUCACACGUCAUACAAUGGUUAGAACAAAGAGCUGCAAAUUCGUAAGAAGGAGCCAAUCUCACAAACCUAACCUCAGUUCGAAUUGCGGUCUGCAACACGAGCGCAUGAAGCCGGAAUCGCUAGUAAUCGUGGAUCAGAAUGCCACGGUGAAUACGUUCUUAGGUCUU
rnacentral:rRNA from 1 species